CUCAGAGUCCGACUCAUCAGUGGCUCAGCCCGAGGGCACGGAGCCCGUGCUGGGAAACUGAACAGUUUGCAUAGUCAUCAGCCUCUCCUGCUAGUACAUAUUGCAUUUCGAUUGCGUUAUUUUCCGGCUUUGUCUCUGGGGUCCCACAAUUAGAAUGAACGAUGUGGAAAUAUCAGCUCUGUUUAUGCAAACUAUACACAAAAUGCGUGACUAAUAGGGGGAAGGGGUGGCUUGCUGCUCACGUCAGUCCAGCCUGAUGCAAAAUGACUGAGCACUCUGCAAUACCAGUAUCAGCUGAGUUUUACAUUGCUUCAACGACCCAUGCAGUCUCCAGGUGGCACAGUCUAGCGUAAAGCUAUAUGUUGUUAAUCGCGGAGCUGGUAAAUUAAUGUAAAUUGUGACUUGUAUUGUUGAAAGCAAUAAUUAGAUGCAAGUCCAGAGUCCUCGCGAAGAAGACAAACGUUGUGAGGAAAUGAGCUGGAAAUCCGCUGCAAAUGCAAAUGUUCCACAUGCUGGAAGUCUAAAAUAAAAGAAAAAUCAAGAAACAUUCAGGUGAACGAAAAAAUGUCCCUCAGAUGUUCAGCUAGGGGCAAACAGAAGAACGCGUUGGCCAGAUCAAUGCACGAGAACCACUUAUGGUCAGAGGUCAGCACAGACAUCGCAGUGUACGGGUUUGGAACUGGAACUGUUGGAGUAGAAACGACACUAUUAAUCCGUCGAAGAUCACGCGCCAUCCUAUAUCUACCGGUAUUCUGCUUCUCUACAGGACAAGCAGACACUGAACACCAGGGAGCUGAGAUGUAGGAGGAGAAGUUGCUGACCUCUGGCUCUUCACAGCUGCCAAGAAAGGGGCAAUAGGGAACAAUGCAUUGCCAUCCCUACCAUCAUUUAUGCUUCCAUAAGUAAAAGGCAAAUCUAACCUACAACAUUGAAACGCAGAGACAACAGUGGGGCAUUCUGCACAAACUGCAAAAUAAAUUUCUAUGUACACUUACAGGAGUCAUUGUAAGAAUCUUUCAGGUCUUCCUAAAUUUGGAAAAGGAUUGCUUCAGCAUCUGAUGAGUCACAAAUAGUGCCGAAUAUUGUGCAAUCUUCAGCAAAUAUCUCCAAUCCUGACCUUAUGAUAGAGGGUAAGUCAUUGAUGAAGUAGCUGAAGAUGAUUGAACCUUAUACACUACCCUGAGGAACUCCUGCAGAGAUGUUCUAGAAUGAUUGAUCUUCAAUGACCAGAAUUAUCUUCCAUUGUUCCAGACAUAACUCCAACCAGCAGAGGGUUUUCUCUGAUUCACAUUGACCUUAGUUUGGCUAGGAUUCAGUGAUGGAGAAAGUGAGGUCUGCAGAUGCUCGAGAUCAGAGCUGAAAAUGUGUUGCUGGAAAAGCGCAGCAGGUCAGGCAGCAUCGGGAACAGGAGAAUCGAUGUUUCGGGCAUAAGCCCUUCUUCAGGAAUUCAGUGAUACCACACCCAAUCAAAAUAAUGUCUUUUUGUUGAGGACAGUCACUAUCUUCACACUUUUUGUGCUGAUGUUGAACCAAGUCUGUAACAAAUCAGGAGCUGAGUGGUCCUGAUGGGACCCAAAUUGAGUACCAGUGAAUGGAUCAUUGUUAAACAAUUGCUGCUCAACAUCACUUUUAAUGAUUCCUUUUGUCAUUUUACUGUUGAUCAAGAGUAGGGUGGUAAGUUUUGUGGUUGGGUGUUUCCUACUUUUUCUUCACAGGACACAUCUGGGCAUUUUCCAAUUGCGUGUUCAACUUGGAUUACAAAUUCUUUAGUUGGGAGUCAUCUAUAGGAGUUUUCCUGCCUUUCUCUGCACCUGAUGCCAUGAUAUUUCCUGGGAUUCAUAGUCAAUGUUGAGGAUUCCCUUGGUAACUGCCUCCUAACUGUAACUCACUGUGACAGCACCUUUGCGGAGUCUGUGGGAUAGUGGGAUAGGGCAUUCACAAAGAUGAUGAUUGGCGCUGUCUGGAACAUUGUUUUCAAGGAAUGAUUCCUUGAAUAUGACUAUAUUGUUGCUUGUCUACUCUAUGAGACAACUUUCCCAAUUUUGGCAAAAGCCCCCAAAUGUCAGGAAGGAAUGCUUUGCAAACUCAACAGUAACAAAGUGUAAUCAGUAACAACGAUCAUGACAACUAUCAACUUUCCUAGUUAGAGUCACUUUUAACUAUUGAUUUCUUCAACAUCAUGUGAAGAUGAUGGUCAAACAUGUAUUGAUUGCACAAGUACAUCUCCAAUUUAUGACUCCUUUGAAAAACAGUAAAGCACAAGACUAUUGUUUUGACAAUAAUGUAUUGAAAAGUGAUUUUUAAAAAAUAUAUGUUAUACAAGUCAAAAUGUAGCAUGAGUAUUACAUGUAUUGCCUAAAUUUCCCCUCCCUCACACUCAAAAUACUUUAACUGUUUUUAUGUUGUGGGUGUGGACAACUGUCAAAGGUUAUCAAGUUCUUUACUGUAGUGGACCACCUACUCGUUAUGAAAAGGCCAUCUUCACUUUUAUGGACUCUAUUAAAAUAGGUUGAGAUCUGAGUUUCCAAAUGGUCUAAGCAAUAAUGAUAUGAGCAUUCUGAAUUCAUUAUGUUUUCUUUGCAGCAUAUUCAGAAGUAAUAGUGAUAAAGUUUCAAUUAAUGCAGAUUUUUGUACAUUGCUGAUUUAGACUCAUAGAGAUGUACAGCACGGAAACAAACCCUUCAGUCCAACCCGUCCAUGCUGACCAGAUAUCCCAACC